rnacentral:tRNA from 1 species
GCGGGCGUGGUGGAAUUGGCAGACACCCGGGCUUUAGGUGCCCGUGCUUGAAAGAGCGUGAGGGUUCGAGUCCCUCCGCCCGCACAA